rnacentral:lncRNA from 1 species
CAUACAGGUGGGUCCAUAACACAUGAGGAGCAUGCAAGACGCAUACAAAAUGCUAAGACAGACAAAGUUCCUCCAACAGCAGCUGAGUUGUUUGUCCACACCCAUACAAAGAAGAGUGAUCGCAACAAAUUUGUUGAUAAACGAGCUGAACUUGUUUAUGUAAGUUUCUAUAUAAACAAGUUGUCUUUCUAAGUAAUAUCUUGCAAGUAUGAUUUUGAUGUCUAUGUGAUUGACUUUUAGUUGUGUUAUUGAUUGAGUUGUUGAUUGAUUUUGAGUUGUGUAAUUGAUUUUCAGUUGCAAGUAUGAUUAUGAUAUCUAGGUGAUUCUCACAAGGAAAUUGUUUAUGAUUCUCAAUUGUGUGAUUGAUUUUGAGUUGUUGAUUGAUUUUGAGUUGUUGAUUGAUUUUGAGUUGUGUGAUUGAUUUUCGGUUGCAAGUAUGAUUAUGAUAUCUAGGUGAUUCUCACAAGGAAAUUGUUUAAGAUUCUCAGUUGUGUGAUUGAUUUUGAGUUGUGUGAUUGAUGUUUGAUUUUGAGUUGUGUGAUUGAUUUUCAAUUGCAAGUAUGAUUCUGAUAUCUAGGUGAUUCUCACAAGGAAAUUGUUCAAGAUUCUCAGUUGUGUGAUUGAUUUUUAGUUGUUGAUUGAUUUUGAGUUGUGUGAUUGAUUUUCGGUUACAAGUAUGAUUAUGAUAUCUAGGUGAUUCUCAUAAGGAAAUUGUUUAUGAUUCUCAGUUGUGUGAUUGAUUAUGAGUUGUUGAUUGAUUUUCAGUUGCAAGUAUGAUUCUGAUAUCUAGGUGAUUCUCACAAGGAAAUUGUUUAUGAUUCUCAGUUGUGUGAUUGAUUUUUCUAUUAUGAUAUCUUGCAAGUAUUGUAAAUGUGAUAUCUUGCAGGUAUUAUAAUUGUCAUAUCUUGUAGGUAUUACCAUUAUUCCUUACUUUAGUAUUCAAAUUGAACUGUUAUUCUGUGAUUUUCUAGGAAAAUUAUUUGAAGCUAAAAGAACAACAUUCAAGCCAGAAUGUGGGAUCAGAUCAUGUGGAAGGAGAUGGAGGAAAUAUUAAUGAGGAUCAAUUGUUCAUUGCUGCAGCAGGAGGAUGGCAAGGAAGUCGAGUUUAUGGUUUAGGUAGUGCUGCAUCUUCUGCCUUCUCUCAAACAGGAACUGUGGAAAAAACAACAGAUGUUCCAUCAUCACAAUCACCAGAAUGGAAGAAGGAAAUUGAAGCAAAGUUUGAUGAGAAGUAUAAUAGUUUGCAGAAACUNNN